ensembl:lncRNA
UUCAGGGGGGAAGUCUUUACUAGAGCUUGGUGCUUUCCGAAUCCCCUUCUCGGCUGAAACGAAUGGCCAAAAGACCGAAGACGUGACGAGCACCGUCCUCAACUAAUGGAGAGACUUCUAGUCGGGUCACUAUAUCAAGAGGAGGUGGAUGAGCAGGACGUUUCCUGUAAACUGGCAUGACUUACCUCCUUGAUGAUCCGAGCCUGACUCAUGGAAAAAGUUAUGCCUUGGGCGACUGCAGCUCUGCUCGGGCUAAAGGACAGAAAGGAGGAUCGUUCAUCACCUCCAAAUAAUGUUUUCAAAGAAGACAGGAGCUGUACUCACACCUGUAACGUGAGGUUUACUAUUAAGGAUGUACAUUAACGUCAAAGGGUCCUUUGUAACCUUAAGGGAAUCUUUGAGUGUAACCUCAAAUCAGGUGAGGGCAUAAUAAAAAAGAUCAUUGAGGAUUGAAGUGGAG